AGGGCCAGCCAGCCGCGGUUAAUUCCCAGCUGCCAAUAGGCGUAUAUUAAAAGUUGGUGGCAGUUAAAAAAGCUUCGUAGUUGAACCCUUGGGCCCUGGCUGGGCCGGUCCCGCCUCAACGGCGUGUACUGGUCCGGGCCGGGCCUUUCCUUCUGGAGAGCCCGCAUGCCCUUUCACUGGGUGUGUCGGGGAACCAGGACUUUUACUUUGAGAAAAUUAGAGUGUUUAAAAGCAGGCCUUUGCUCGAAUACGUUAGCAUGGAAUAAUAGAAUAGGACGUGCGGUCCUAUUUUGUUGGUUUCUAGAACCGCCGUAAUGAUUAAUAGGGAUAGUCGGGGGCGUCAGUAUUCAAUUGUCAGAGGUGAAAUUCUUGGAUCUAUUGAAGACUAACUACUGCGAAAGCAUUCGCCAAGGAUGUUUUCAUUAAUCAGUGAACGAAAGUUAGGGGAUCGAAGACGAUCAGAUACCGUCGUAGUCUUAACCGUAAACUAUGCCGACUAGGGAUCGGGCGAUGUUUCAUUAUUGACUCGCUCGGCACCUUACGAGAAAUCAUAAGUUUUUGGGUUCUGGGGGGAGUAUGGUCGCAAGGCUGAAACUUAAAGAAAUUGACGGAAGGGCACCACCAGGCGUAAACACUGCAGACUCUGCGCCGGAAAGCAGCCCGAAAGGGUGAGUGGUGCCCCGACUUAAAUGCUAGUCGCCCCUCCAGCCAGCUGGAGGGCCGCGGCCACAUGCCUAAAUUGCGGGAAACUCGCGAAGCCUCUACUACCGCAGCCUGCCUGAAAGGGCGGGUGCGCACCAGGGUAAUGACCUCGGGGAUGGUAACAACGUAGAGUGUAUGUGACGAUCCGCAGCCAAACCCCUACGGGGCCCCCUCAAAGGGGCUCCUUGGGGAAGGUUCAGAGACUACAAUGGCGUGGGUCGGCCGCUACGGUGGCCGGCUUAAGGUAUAGUCCGCCCCAAGUCGAAAGAUAG
rnacentral:rRNA from 1 species